rnacentral:lncRNA from 1 species
UUACAAGCUGCAGCAGCUGGAGAGAGGAAGAUCAGGAGGCCAGAUGGCUUUGGAGAAGUGUAGGAGAUUUUCUUUCCAUUACAGGUUUGAAGGACUUCCUUACUUAUCUGGGAAAAAAUUAUCAGGAUGACAGAAAGAAAAACUUCUUGGGAGACAGAGCUUGUGAACAAGAAGCAAAAUCCUUAUCACUGACAGAAUCUGCAGAAGCCCUCCCCACCACUCGUGGUUGUCAAUGGCAUUCCAGAUGA